rnacentral:rRNA from 1 species
GAGGAAUAUUGGUCAAUGGACGCGAGUCUGAACCAGCCAUGUCGCGUGCAGGAUGACUGCCCUAUGGGUUGUAAACUGCUUUUGUAUGGGAAGAAAGUGAGAUACGUGUAUCUCUUUGCCGGUACCAUACGAAUAAGGAUCGGCUAACUCCGUGCCAGCAGCCGCGGUAAUACGGAGGAUCCAAGCGUUAUCCGGAUUUAUUGGGUUUAAAGGGUGCGUAGGCGGUUUAAUAAGUCAGUGGUGAAAUCUUGCAGCUUAACUGUAAAAUUGCCAUUGAUACUGCUAGACUUGAGUAUAGUUGAGGUGGGCGGAAUGUGUUGUGUAGCGGUGAAAUGCAUAGAUAUAACACAGAACACCAAUUGCGAAGGCAGCUCACUAAGCUAUAACUGACGCUGAGGCACGAAAGCGUGGGUAGCGAAC